rnacentral:rRNA from 1 species
UGGGGAAUAUUGCACAAUGGGCGGAAGCCUGAUGCAGCGACGCCGCGUGGGGGAUGAAGGCCUUCGGGUUGUAAACUCCUUUCGACAGGGACGAAGCUUUUGUGACGGUACCUGUAUAAGAAGCACCGGCUAACUACGUGCCAGCAGCCGCGGUAAUACGUAGGGUGCGAGCGUUGUCCGGAAUUACUGGGCGUAAAGAGCUCGUAGGUGGUUUGUCGCGUCGUCUGUGAAAUUCCGGGGCUUAACUCCGGGCGUGCAGGCGAUACGGGCUGACUUGAGUGCUGUAGGGGAGACUGGAAUUCCUGGUGUAGCGGUGAAAUGCGCAGAUAUCAGGAGGAACACCGAUGGCGAAGGCAGGUCUCUGAGCAGUAACUGACGCUGAGGAGCGAAAGCAUGGGUAGCGAACAGG